rfam:Sclerotinia sclerotiorum 1980 scaffold_2 genomic scaffold, whole genome shotgun sequence.
UCUUUGAUGGUCUAGUGGUCAUGAUUUCCGCUUGUCACUCACCUGACAAAGCGCGGGAGACCGGGGUUCGAUUCCCCGUCAGAGAG